CCGCCCGCCUGUGACGCUAACCAAGUACUUUUUAAUUUGGCCUUAUUCAAGUUUUUCAAAGAGCAGAAAACGGUUGUGCCAUUGAACACUUUGCAUGCGGUUGGUCAGUGACCAACUAAUAAUAACUUUAGUUAAUAAUAACUAUCGUAGCAGUCAGAAAACCAAAAACGUCACAGAAAAAUUGUUGUACGUACACAAGUUCAAUUGACUCUAAUGCUUACGUCACAGCCUCGUACCCAGGCGCAAAUAACUAAAAAUAGGCACACUACAGUGUUUUUAUAUAGAUCAGUGGCUAAGCUGAGCGAGCGCGCGGCGGUCGCUUUAAGGCAAUUUCCCAUUGCAGUCGCUUUGCCCACGCGGGCGGAGCAAACAUUACUCAAAUUUCUCUGUAGUUGCCUAACCUGUGCAUUUUUUGUCCGCCUGAAUGCUCGCGGACACGCCAUGAAGUAGAACUACAUUGAACUUUCUUGGCGUGCCCGGGCGACUGAUUUUUCACGUGAUUAAAAUUGGUCGCUCCGCCCGCGCGGGCAUUUCCAUUGCAGUCGCUUUGCCCGCGCGGUGAAAUGCAGUAUUUCUUUUAAAUUUUCUAAUUUUUAUUUCCUUGAGUUUUGUCCCGUGAGUACAAGACCUUGUGUUCUUACCCAACCAUUAAUUCAAAGCAAUAGACCUUUCCCCUUUUGAGUGAAAUUUUGAUCUAGACAAGUCUGGACAAAAA